GACGAACGCUGGCGGCGUGCCUAAUACAUGCAAGUAGAACGCUGAAGGAGGAGCUUGCUUCUCUGGAUGAGUUGCGAACGGGUGAGUAACGCGUAGGUAACCUGCCUGGUAGCGGGGGAUAACUAUUGGAAACGAUAGCUAAUACCGCAUAAUAUUGACUAUUGCAUGAUAGUCAGUUGAAAGGUGCAACUGCACCACUACCAGAUGGACCUGCGUUGUAUUAGCUAGUUGGUGGGGUAACGGCUCACCGAGGCGACGAUACAUAGCCGACCUGAGAGGGUGAUCGGCCACACUGGGACUGAGACACGGCCCAGACUCCUACGGGAGGCAGCAGUAGGGAAUCUUCGGCAAUGGACGGAAGUCUGACCGAGCAACGCCGCGUGAGUGAAGAAGGUUUUCGGAUCGUAAAGCUCUGUUGUAAGAGAAGAACGAGUGUGAGAGUGGAAAGCUCACACUGUGACGGUAUCUUACCAGAAAGGGACGGCUAACUACGUG
rnacentral:rRNA from 1 species